rnacentral:snRNA from 1 species
GUGCUUGCUUCAGCAGCACAUAUACUAAAAUUGGAACAAUGCAGAGAAGAUUAGCAUGGCCCCUGUGCAAGGAUGACAUGCAAAUUCAUGAAGCAUUCCAUAUUUUU